UUUAACUCUGGUGGAGCAAAUUGAAAUUAAAUUGGUUUUUUUACUAAUUUUCUAAUAAAGUAGACUUAUUGUUAGUGGAAUUUGCUUUUGGUUGUAUAGGAUUUAUAAUGAUUUUUCCAAGGUGGGAUUUAAAAUUUGUGAGCUGAUAAGCUACCAUUUGGGAAGAAUUUUAUGACAUUGGCAUAUAUGGGUAGUAAUACAUGACAACAUUACCAUUUUGCUUGUAAUUGUUGAUUUGAAUCUACCAGCUCAUUUGAAAAUGAAAAUAGAUCUUGUUGUGAAUUGAAAGAUGAAAAUCAUCUUAUGCAAACAUUUGUCUGUUGUUGUAAGUUUCACAAUCAUGAUAUGUUCAACAGAUGUUAUUAAUGCAUAUGAUCAAACAGACUGUAGGCAUUUGGAGAUGAGUUUAAGUUGUAUAUCAUGCAUAGUAGACAUUCACCAAAAUAACCAGGAAUUAUGCAUAUGCUAUAGAAACAGUAUACAGAUGAAUCAAAUACAACUUUCAGAAAGAUAUCAACAGAUUGAAUGCAUAACAUAGUUUGUAUGGAAGUGGCCUCUAGACCAAAAAGAUCUAAGGCAUCAAAUCCUGAGGCAAUCGGAAAAGUCAGAUGAUAAGAAUUACCUACUAUACUGGAAAAAAAGGAGAGAGCUGCAAAAAAUAAAAGAGCAGAUGAAGGAAGUUAAAGGAUGUGGAAUAAGUGAAGUAAAAAUAUGAGAAGAGGAAAAUAUUUUCUUGUCCUGAUAGAUGUGCCACAAUAUGAUGAUAAUCUUUGUGUUCCCAUAAACAUAAUGGUCAUUUCUUUCUCAUUUCAUCACCAGCAAUAAGUUAACAUUUUUAUCAAUUUUUUCCUCAUAUUUCACUGAAUAAAUCUAGCAAGUCCAUAAUCAUAUUCACAUUCAUUACUGUUUUAGACAUCUGAAACGAGGAAACCUUUAAUUACAAUAAUUCUCUAUAUAUAACAACAUAUAUACAUAUAUUAUUAUAGAUUAAAAUAUAACAUGAGUCUUGAUAGUUUCAGUACCACAUGUUUCAUUUUAUUUGAAGCAAUAUGUUUCACC
rnacentral:lncRNA from 1 species